UUCAUUUUUAAUUAGUUCAAC
rnacentral:piRNA from 1 species